rnacentral:lncRNA from 1 species
UAAGUCAGUGAAAAGUAAUCAAACAGAAAGUAAAAUAUAAGAAGUGAGAGAAUAUCAGUCCAGAAGGAUCCUAUCCUCGCUGUUCGUUUACCUCCCUUUUAUAAAUAAUUCACUAAUAACCGUUUGUAACGGUUAGACACGUGGAUCCCACUUAUUCUGGUAUUAUAUGAUCGUAGAAUAGGCGAUUAAGGCUUUCUGAUGAUUGUGGUAUAUGACC